rnacentral:lncRNA from 1 species
AUUAGUCUGAGGAAACAGACAGCAACAACGCUGAUUACAGCCACCGGCCUCAACAAUUUUUUUUUCUAACUAGCAAUUUCGAGUGCAAGUGCCACAGUGUCAGCUAAAGAAACACAACUGCGGGUUUUCUGCAGAGCAAAAUGGUUCUGAAAUGUCACUGAAUAGCUCACAAAGGACGCCAAUCUACGACAACAGAGACAUAAGCAUAUAGGAGAAAGGGUCCACACAUCCUCCUUUCAAAGGUCACAGAAAGCUUGCUGCAGAUCAGGAAAUGUCUUCAGUUUCCAAAGCCUCUCAUAGCAUGUGGAGAAAAGAGAGAGAAAGGGAGAGAAGAGUCAUGGACCCUACUUUAUGGUUGCCAUGGAUGCAAGCCUCAUCUCCAUUCCUUUCUACUUUGAACAUAGCAAGUCCUGGAGGCUGCUGGGUCGUCUUCCAGCCACAAGGUGGCUCCCCCAAUCCCUUCUCUCAAGCCAAUCGAUGUACACCUUUGCUGAGUUCUCCAGGCGGACUACAAUUCAGAGCUAAUUAUGAUCUAUAAAUGCCAUUAUUUUCAUUGUGAAGUAAAUGGCUUAUGACCAAGACCCUGGUACACUAAGAUACAAUGCAAAAUUAGUCUUUAAAAAUAGGAGAAAGAAAAAUACCUUUGUAUUUGCCUAAUUUCUCUUCACCCAUCCUUCCAAAAGUACAACUGAGCUAUCCUUAGAGUAAAAUAAGAAAAAUAAUAAAAGGCUCCAGAGGAACCUAAUUUUGUUGUCAAUGAACAUAGUCAUAGACUAGACAAGGUCAAAUUUUAAGAAAAGUAUACAACUUAUUCUCACUUAAACUAGACCUACUUUUGGAUUUGAUAUUUUACCACAAGAGAGUUUUGAUGAGAAGACUUUGCAAAACUUUCUUAGAAGUCCCACAUCAUGCCAUCAUUGAAGAACAGUGAUCUCCAAUACUGCAAGGCUUUAAAAGGAGUGGAAAUAUUACAUAUUUCCUUUUUGUUGCUUAGCAAACAUGUUGCAUAUUUCAUAAAUGUGAUUUUUAUAGAAGACAUCAUAAUUUUCUACAGCUGAAAUAGGCAUAGAAAGACAAAUCAUUCAUCCAAUUACAUGGAAGGUCUUUCUAAAAGUCUGAGUCCUAAUUUCUCACAGUUUUUCAUUUUCUGUUCUGGAGAGAAGCUAUUUAACCUUUGGGCAAGUUUCGUUUUCCUUAUCUG